GGGCCCGCACAAGCGGUGGAGUAUGUGGUUUAAUUCGACGAAACGCGAAGAACCUUACCUGGGCUUGAACUGCUGAUAGUAAAAGCCGGAAACGGCGAUGAUCCGCAAGGAAGUCAGCAGAGGUGUUGCAUGGCUGUCGUCAGCUCGUGUCGUGAGAUGUUGGGUUAAGUCCCGCAACGAGCGCAACCCUUAUCCCAUGUUACCUGUAGUAAUACAGGAUCUCUGAGGAAACUGCCAUUGAUAAAAUGGAGGAGGGUGGGGAUGAUGUCAGGUAGCAUGACCUUUAUAUCCAGGGCUACACACGUACUACAAUGGCCGGUACAGAGGGCAGCAAUACCGCAAGGUACAGCAAAUCCCUAAAAGCCGGCCUCAGUUCGGAUUGCGGGCUGCAAUUCGCCCGCAUGAAGCAGGAAUCGCUAGUAAAUCGCAGAUCAGCAGGCUG
rnacentral:rRNA from 1 species